UACGGUGAACUGCGAAUGGCUCAUUAAAUCAGUUAUCGUUUAUUUGAUAGUACCUUACUACUUGGAUAACCGUGGUAAUUCUAGAGCUAAUACAUGCUAAAAACCCCGACUUCGGAAGGGGUGUAUUUAUUAGAUAAAAAACCAGCGCCCUUCGGGGCUCCUUGGUGAUUCAUAAUAACUUAACGAAUCGCAUGGCCUUGCGCCGGCGAUGGUUCAUUCAAAUUUCUGCCCUAUCAACUUUCGAUGGUAGGAUAGUGGCCUACCAUGGUAUCAACGGGUAACGGGGAAUUAGGGUUCUAUUCCGGAGAGGGAGCCUGAGAAACGGCUACCACAUCCAAGGAAGGCAGCAGGCGCGCAAAUUACCCAAUCCCGACACGGGGAGGUAGUGACAAUAAAUACUGAUACAGGGCUCUUUAGGGUCUUGUAAUUGGAAUGAGUACAAUUUAAAUCCCUUAACGAGGAACAAUUGGAGGGCAAGUCUGGUGCCAGCAGCCGCGGUAAUUCCAGCUCCAAUAGCGUAUAUUAAAGUUGUUGCAGUUAAAAAGCUCGUAGUUGAACCUUGGGCCUGGCUGGCCGGUCCGCCUCACCGCGUGUACUGGUCCGGCCGGGCCUUUCCUUCUGGGGAGCCGUAUGCCCUUCACUGGGCGUAUUGGGG
rnacentral:rRNA from 2 species